rnacentral:lncRNA from 1 species
CUGUGCAGGAUCUCUGAUGGGCUCCUCUGGUGGAGUUUCAUAAACAUCUUCCUCCUGCUUAGGAGACAGUGAUGACAUGGUUGAGACACACCACGUCCUCCAGGAGCCUCUUGUUCCCUGACAUGGAAUCGGUUUGGAGAUUUGGGUGCAGUCUUGCCUAAGGCAAUAAGGAGUGCAUUGGCAUGCCUCUUUGACCAGAAUGAGGCUUGGCAGAUAGCGCUUGACUUAGGGCCCCUCCACCUAGGUCCACCAAUGCUCCAACUGCCACUCUCCUAACUGUCGCUCAGAACAUUGCCUCUCAGUCCCAGCACCUGCCCAGGCUUUGGAUGACCGACCACUGGCUCAGGAGCUGGGAGAGCUACUUGAGGGCCAAGUGAAAGCCUCAUUUUGUGAUUCAGGCACCAGCCAAAUACAGUUGCAUGAGGAAAAUUCAGUUGCCUGUGGCUUUGUUUUUUUUUUGUUUGUUUGUUUUUGAGUGCUUUGAAAAUCUUGCUGCCUCUGCCCCUUCUGAUUUGCAAGACACUGGAGAGGAAAUCAACUUGGUUAUCUGAGAGUGCCUCUCAGCUCUGCGUGAAGACUGCUUUCCUCGGAGGAGUCCAAACUUUAUCAAAAAGAGAAAUAUUUCCUUUUCUCUUCACAAUGAAAUUGGACUUGGAGGUCAGCGAACCAAUAGACUUUGGUUCUGGAGGUCAUCAACAUCUGAUUCGGGAAGCAGCAGAUAAAAGCAUCCAGUACCAAUCUGGUGAGCACUACACACCUUCAUCUUCAGCUGGGCCACAAGAAACUCGGGAGAAGCCAUGGCCAAAGGACACCGAGCAGUUGAAUACCUGUGUGAUAGAAAUUUCAGAUGACGUCACCCCAGGUGAUAACAAUGCAACUUUAGGCAAUCCUUUCUCAGACGCAUCUGUCCGCAGAGGCAACUCCUAGACCAAGGUGGUGGCAGAUUUCCAGAAUUUUACUUUCAUUUCCUAACCGAAGCAAAAAAACUUUUUUAAAACUCUUAUUUUGGACACUGCUUUCUUUUUUAUUUUCUCCUGAGCUGUUUCAACAGUUAAAACUGGAUAGAGAAGAAAAGGGAGGCUUUAAAAGUUUGGGUGCUCAAAAAUCCCUGGUUCAUCUCUGCAAUCUUCUCAGCAUUUUUUGCCAUACUUAUUAUACUUGAUUGCUGUGGGAAUCUCCGCCGUCAGGUGCCUGCAGAGUACAUUCUCCUGGGAUUCUUUACAGCUCUUCAAGGUCUGCUGCUAGGAGCCGUAUCAGUUUUCUACAAGGCCGAGGAAGUGUUAUGGGCAACAGCUGCAACCACUCUGGUGACGCUAGCACUCACUUUGUUUGCUCUACAAACAAAAUGGGAUUUUACCUGGCUAAAUGGAGCACUGUUCGUUUUCUGCUUCGUGCUUUUAAUCUAUGGAAUUACCUUAAUCUUCGUGCGAUCAUAUUGGCUGCAUCUAUUAUAUGCUGGACUCGGAACUGUGCUCUUCUCACUCGUAAGUCCAUUGCUCCAUCUCUUUGGUAAGAGUGUGGUAUGUGCAUUGACAAGCCCUUGUGCUAGGCCUGGAGUCACAUGGGGUUAGGAAUUCACUGGAAACUCUUCAGCUCCCUUUUAAAGGAUCAUAUUUAAAACCA